rnacentral:sRNA from 1 species
GCGAGGGAGACUCACUUUUCACUGCGCGCCGUUUUCUACUAUCUGAUUUUUUUACUAUGAUAUCUAAGUCCUGCAAAAUCAAUGAUUAGUAUUUUUUUUAAUAACAUUAUUAGGAAACAAGGUGAAUCCCUGGCCUGGGAAAGGGGGAGAGCCCUGGGCCCUGGUUGGGCUCCUGGGACAGAUGAGAAGGACAGCAUAGCCCUCUGGGGCUUGGGGUGGGGCCCCAGGCCAUCUGGUAGGUGUCCCGAGUUCUUUGCUGAGCAGGCCGGCUGGGCCAGGCUUGGCUGAGCCGUGUUUCCUUGCAGGCCCAGGAGGCUGACGCCAUCACUCUGGAUGGAGGAACCGUCUAUGAGGCGGGAAAGGAGCAUGGCCUGAAGCCCGUGGUGGGCGAAGUGUAUGAUCAAGAGGUCGGUACCUCCUAUUAUGCCGUGGCUGUGGUCAGGAGGAGCUCCCAUGUGACCAUUGACACCCUGAAAGGCGUGAAGUCCUGCCACACGGGCAUCAAUCGCACAGUUGGCUGGAACGUGCCUGUGGGCUACCUGGUGGAGAGCGGCCG